UACGUAUGGUGCAAGCGUUAUCCGGAUUUACUGGGUGUAAAGGGAGCGUAGACGGAGUGGCAAGUCUGAUGUGAAACCCCGGGGCUCAACCCCGGGACUGCAUUGGAAACUGUCAAUCUGGAGUACCGGAGAGGUAAGCGGAAUUCCUAGUGUAGCGGUGAAAUGCGUAGAUAUUAGGAGGAACACCAGUGGCGAAGGCGGCUUACUGGACGGUAACUGACGUUGAGGCUCGAAAGCGUGGGGAGCAAACAGG
rnacentral:rRNA from 1 species